rnacentral:rRNA from 1 species
AAUGAACGUUGGCGGCAUGGAUUAGGCAUGCAAGUCGGGGGAAUCCAGCAAUGGGGGAACCGGCGUAAGGGGCAGUAAGGCAUGGGUACCUACCUUGGGGUUCGGGAUAGCCAUCAGAGAUGGUGGGUAAUACCGGAUGACGUCGUGAGACCAAAGAUUUAUCGCCCUUAGAGGGGCCCAUGUGAUAUUAGCUAGUUGGUGGGGUAACGGCCCACCAAGGCGAAGAUGUCUAGCGGGGGUGAGAGCACGACCCGCGCCACUCGCACUGAGACACUGGCGAGACACCGACGGGUGGCUGCAGUCGAGGAUAUUCGGCAAUGAGCGCAAGCUUGACCGAGCGAUGCCGCGUGAGCGAUGAAGGCCUUCGGGUUGUAAAGCUCUUUAGUGGGGGAGAAAAGCCGCAAGGUGUGAUCUAUCCCAAAAAUAAGCACGGGCUAAGUUCGUGCCAGCCGCCGCGGUAA